UAUCCCGUCUGUGGUAUUACGAUUUUUUGUAUUGGAGAGCAUGCUGCACUUACUCUGAAUAGGAUACAUCGUUUCUAUCUGUACUCAGGCUGAAGUGUUCCUUGCAAAAUAUUUGUUGCAUUGAGCUUCUCAUUAAACUUGCUGAUUGGGUGGGUGUUGUUUCCCAGCACUCUUACUGCUAAUUACGUUCAGGAAGAGGAAUACCUUCUACCGCUUUUGGAUCUGCUUUUAAUAUGUCACCCAUAAUGAGAAAUGUGGGAAGGCUUACAAAUGUCCCCGUCCUGUGCCCUGCUUCAGAGCCAGCAGAGGGAGCGCAGCCAGCAUCUGAGCUACUCUGCCCUUGCUCACCUUGGCCACGCAUGCUUCACUCACUCAGACAAUUGUUUCAGAGAGGAAAGUGAUAAUUUACAGAAAUGAAGGGCUUUAGGGCACUCCCAGCAGUGACUAUUGUAUUGGUGUACUGGUCCUUGGCUGAAUAUUCUGUUACUAUGUUUGUCCUACAGUGUUACUGAUCAGGUUACCAACAACAGUUGUUGUCUUGGCGUCUUCCUGAUUUGUGCCUGACUGUGUGCACAGUUACACAGGAGGAAAGAUUCCCGGUGCUGCUUUAGUUACACAGUUGCAAAUGAAGGUAAUACUCAGGUGAGGCUGUUGUAUCUAAAUGCACAAAGCAGUAGGACCAUAAAUGGACCCUAAUCUGAAUUUUCCUGAAGGAUUCAGCCUGGCUGUGGUCUCUGGAGGUGUCAGUGCCACCUUGCUUAGCCUGGUGUUCAUGACAGGAUUUUCACCAUCUUCACUUCUCUGGCCACUCCUGUUCUACUGACAGCAAUCUAUACUCCUCGCACAAAACAAACCGUCCCUUAGCUGAGGUUUUCCUCACCAACUUGUUCCUGCUCCUGCAACCACUGCAUCCUUCUGUGCUCCCCAAAGCCAGGCAGGUUCUGUGCUUACUAACCCUCUCAACCUGUGGUAAUUUAUAGGAGGCCAUUUAUUUUUGUAUUGCAAUAAAUCCCUUGUGUCCAGUCUGGUAAUGGCAUGGGUGGUGAGAAGGGGGUGAUGAGAGAGUGAGCAGGUGACUGAAAAAGCUCUUGUAUGCGUAUUUGUAAUAAAAGACAUCCAAAGUGCAUUUUGUUACUGUGAAGAGGAAUUAUCUGUGGAAAAAAAAAAUGCUUUUAUUGUUUAAAACUCCUUAUGCUUGCUGUGAAAUGAAUCUGUGAAAUAUCUCAUUAAAAGUUUAUUGGAUCGAUAAUUUGUUUGUUUGUUCCAGAGUGCAGGUAAUAAACGUG
rnacentral:lncRNA from 1 species